GACGAACGCUGGCGGCGUGCUUAACACAUGCAAGUCGAACGGAAAGGCCCUGCUUUUGUGGGGUGCUCGAGUGGCGAACGGGUGAGUAACACGUGAGUAACCUGCCCUUGACUUUGGUAUAACUUCAGGAAACUGGGGCUAAUACCGGAUAGGAGCUCCUGCUGCAUGGUGGGGGUUGGAAAGUUUCGGCGGUUGGGGAUGGACUCGCGGCUUAUCAGCUUGUUGGUGGGGUAGUGGCUUACCAAGGCUUUGACGGGUAGCCGGCCUGAGAGGGUGACCGGCCACAUUGGGACUGAGAUACGGCCCAGACUCCUACGGGAGGAAGCAGUGGGGAAUAUUGCACAAUGGGCGGAAGCCUGAUGCAGCAACGCCGCGUGCGGGAUGACGGCCUUCGGGUUGUAAACCGCUUUCGCCUGUGACGAAGCGUGAGUGACGGUAAUGGGUAAAGAAGCACCGGCUACCUACGU
rnacentral:rRNA from 1 species